rnacentral:rRNA from 1 species
CAGCAGCCACGGUAAUACGAAGGGGGCUAGCGUUGCUCGGAAUCACUGGGCGUAAAGGGUGCGUAGGCGGGUCUUUAAGUCAGGGGUGAAAUCCUGGAGCUCAACUCCAGAACUGCCUUUGAUACUGAAGAUCUUGAGUUCGGGAGAGGUGAGUGGAACUGCGAGUGUAGAGGUGAAAUUCGUAGAUAUUCGCAAGAACACCAGUGGCGAAGGCGGCUCACUGGCCCGAUAUUGACGCUGAGGCACGAAAGCGUGGGGAGCAAACAGGAUUAGAUACCCGCGUAGUCCCUGUCUCUUAUAC